rnacentral:lncRNA from 1 species
CUCCUUAAAACUCUUCGGGAACACCUUCUGAUUCUAUUUCUUCAAUCCCGUCUCCCAUUUCAGGAAAAUACCUAAUAAAAUUCUGGAAUCUGUUUUUGUAGCCUGAGACAUAGCAAGUACAAUCAUAGGAUUAACAAACCCGUGUUUAGUGUACACCUUUUUGAUUCUGUCAAUGACAAAUGACAGGAAUCCCAAAAUCAAAACUAUCUUACACAAACUAAAGCUUUUUUAAAAAAGUUUGAUCAUUAUGAGUUUUAAAGUGAUACGUUACAGCAGGUGUAUUUCCGUAAGCGUGGGAAACAGUUCAGUGCCGUGGGGCUCAAGAGUGAAGAAGAUUUGUUGGAAGAAGAAAAGGAGAGUAAAGCUUCGGAAGGGAAGAGAGGGUUUGAAGAGUCAUCGGAAGAAGAGCAGUCGAGCAAAGCCUAGGAGGGACGGAGAGGCUUUGUGAGUCACGCUUCUUUAGUGAUACUUAUCUAUAAAUAACAAGAAUAAGAGUCAUGGGUUUUUCAUGUUGAGUAUGACGUAAGAAGUGACGUAUGUGUCCUUCAGGUGAUCGUAUGUGAUCAUCGUCGUCGUUAUCUUCUUACGUGUAUUUCAUCUUGUACUUGGAUUGGGGAAAGUAAUCGAAAGGUAUUAUUCAGUAAACGUUGAGUGAUCCAAAGAGUGGUGUGAGUACAAGGUUACGAUCUAUAAACUUAACAAAUUGGUGCGUUUGUGACUCGAUCGAAAGCUCGCUGUGUCAUCCAUGGCGGAUUCCAGUCCUUUCACAGAUGCGUACAACGUUCCGAUGGGCGAUCAAGAGCUUGCGUUCAUCCGUACGGAGUGGGAACGUUUGGCGAAGAACGCCGAGGAGACGUUGACUCGUUUUGGUGCGAUCGAUAAGCGUCUUGCGACGUCCGAUGCCCGUUUUGACGCGAUGGAUCGUCGUUUCGAUCAACUUACGAUGAUCCUCACGCGUAUGGAGAAUAACCAGCUCACCGAUAAGGCGCAAGGCAAAGCGGUGGCGUCGCCUAGUGAUUCUCCGGGCCCGGCGAUGUUUUCGUCUUCUCGAUCGGCGCCGGAGUUACACCCAUCGGGGUUCGGUGUUCCGCCGUCGGUAUUUGAGACUCGUGAGGGCUUGCUGAAGAAGCUCGAGAUGCCUGUGUUUUCUGGGGAAAAUCCUUUUGGUUGGAUUGCUCAGGUGGAGCGCUAUUUUCGGAUUGGGCAGUUUCAUGGGUUGGAGAGGUUACAAAUGGUUUCGUUGAGCCUUGCAGGUCCUGUGUUGAACUGGUUUAACGGGGAGAUGGAGCAUGAUCCGUUUACUGAUUGGCAUCAGUUUAAGCGGAGGUUGGUUUCUCGUUUCCGUCAGCGGAUUGAGGAUGAACCGGGCAAACGCUUGUUCUCUAUUCGUCAGACGGGCACGAUUGCUGAGUAUGUGAAUGAGUUUGAGGAGCUUCGUUCGAUUGUUACUGGAGUCGAUGAGCAGAACCUGGUUCAUGUCUUCUUCAAUGGCUUGAAACCGGAAAUGCAAGAAGUUAUUAAGAUGAAGGAACCUAAGGGCCUUACCGAGCAUAUUGCGGCUGUGAUUGGUAUGGAAGGGAGUGCUUUCUGCACAUCAGUUAGCAUGGCAGUUCAGAGUAAAGGAGGAUCAUCUCGUGGGUCUACAAAUCAGGCUGCUCAGGGGUUCAGUUCUGCGUCUCAGUCUGGUUUUAAGGGUGGUCAUUCUGCUGGUCAGACUACUGGUGGUUCUUUCCGGCCUCGUCUAAAGUAUACAUCGUCUGAACUGGAUGCUAUGCGCCGUGAUAACAUCUGUUUCAAGUGUCGGGGUCCUUAUUCGAAGACUCAUGUCUGUCCGAAGAAAGAACUACACGUCUUAACGGUGAUCAAUGGCUAUGAGGUAGAAAUAUUGGAGGAAGGCACGUUGUGCAGGGAACAAGAGUGGGGGUUAGGUGCUGAUACAGAACGCAUGGAGCUUUCUUUGAAUGCUUUUCUCGGUAUCGACACUCCUACUACAACAAAGUUGAUGGGCGUCAUGGGUAAUACGAGCGUUGUGGUGCUGAUAGAUAGUGGAGCCACCCACAACUUUGUGGCUCCUAGAGUGGUUCAAGCAGCGAAGUUAUCUGUGUCCAAUGAUCGUCGCUUCCAGGUGCUCUUAGGCACAGGGGUGACAGUGGAGUCUAUGGGGGUUUGUCAGGCGGUUACUUUCUCACUUCAGGACAUUUACUUCACCAGUGAUUUUGUGUCUUUGGAGUUGGGUAAGGUGGAUGUUGUGUUGGGAAUUCAAUGGUUGAGGACUUUGGGGAAGUGUGAGGUCGAUUGGGAGCUGCAAGAGUGGUCUUUUAAACAUCAGGGCAAGCUGGUAACCUUGCGUGGAGACUCUUCUUUACACUGCGCGACAGUUACGCAUCAGGCUCUCAUGGUUUCUGAAUUUGAGGAUGUUUUGGACUUGGGAACUGCCGAAGCGACAGAUACAGUUACUGCUCCGGAGUUUCAACGUGUACUGGCUGAUUUUGCAGAUGUGUUUGAGGUUCCAGUGGGUUUACCGCCUAUCAGAAACCGCGAGCACGCCAUCCAUUUACAACCUGGGGUGUCAGCGAUAUCAGUUCGACCGUACCGUUACCCGCACGCAAGCAAAGAAGCAAUGGAAACCAUGGUGACUGAGAUGCUUGACAGUGGUAUCAUACGGCCAAGCAAAAGCCCUUUCUCAAGCCCGGUGCUGUUGGUUCGCAAGAAGGAUAAGACGUGGCGUUUCUGUGUUGAUUAUCGGGCUGUGAACAGAGCUACAAUUCCGGAUAAGUACCCUAUUCCGAUGAUAGAUCAACUCUUGGAUGAACUCCACGGGGCUUGCGUGUUUUCCAAGAUUGAUUUGCGUUCUGGGUACCAUCAGAUCCGGAUGCGUGAGGAAGACGUUCCUAAGACUGCUUUCCGGACUCAUGAAGGCCAUUACGAAUUUCUAGUUAUGCCUUUUGGCUUGACUAACGCUCCGGCAACGUUUCAGUCCUUGAUGAAUGAGAUAUUUCGUCCUCAUUUACGGAAGUUCGUCCUGGUCUUCUUUGACGACAUCUUGGUCUACAGCUCGUCACUGGAACAGCAUCAAGAACAUUUGGCUGCCGUACUUCUUCUGUUACGCCAACAUUCCUUGUAUGCGAACAAGAAGAAAUGCUCAUUUGGUCAGCGUCAAAUUGAUUACCUCGGUCACAUCAUUUCUGAACAAGGGGUUUCUACUGACCCGUCUAAAACGGCAGCUAUGCGACAGUGGCCGACUCCACGGGUUAUUAAGGAAUUGCGGGGUUUCCUCGGGUUAACGGGCUACUAUCGCAGCUAUGUUAAGAACUAUGGCAUCAUCGCUCGGCCAUUGACGUCGCUUCUACGGAAGGACCAGUUCAGUUGGUCACCUGAAGCCCAACGCGCGUUUGAUGCCUUGAAGCAUGCGAUGUCCACAACACCAGUCCUCGCCUUACCGGAUUUCUCUCAAGUUUUCAUUGUGGAAACAGAUGCCUCUGGUUUUGGCUUAGGAGCUGUGCUUAUGCAGAACCAACGUCCUAUUGCUUAUUUCAGCCACAGCCUGACACCUCGGGAACAACUGAAACCCAUUUACGAACGCGAGCUCAUGGCCAUCGUGUUUGCGGUUCUUAAAUGGAAACACUACCUCACCGGUAGGCGUUUUGUGGUCCAUACUGAUCAACGCAGCCUGAAAUUUUUACUUGAACAGCGUGAGAUCUCGAUGGAAUACCAGCGCUGGUUGACCCGUUUGAUGGGAUUCCAGUUUGAUAUUAUCUACAAGCCUGGUAUCGAAAAUAAAGCAGCCGACGGUCUUUCGCGACAGAUGCAGGAUUCUGUUCCGGAGGCCAGCUCUACAUUGUUCGCACUUAUGAUUCCGUCUGUUGUGCAACUGCAAGACAUCUAUGCAGAGAUUGAGCAGGACGCACACAUUCAGGGCAUAUUGCAACAAUUGCGAGCCGGAGACCCUGUGAAGCAAGGGUACUCUGAGGUUGAUCACAAGUUAUGGUUCAAAGGGAGCCUGGUUAUUCCGGCAACCUCUGUUUUCAUUCCGUUGAUACUUCGGGAGAACCAUGACAGUUUGAUGGGAGGUCACUCUGGCGUUUUUAAAACCCUCAAGCGCAUUCAGCGUACAUUUUAUUGGUCGGGAAUGCGUUUGCAGAUUCAGCAGUACGUUGCGAGUUGUGGCAUUUGUCAGACGCACAAAACGUCAACAUUGUCACCUGCGGGUCUACUCCAGCCGCUUCCCAUCCCUUCUAAAGUGUGGCAAGACAUUAGUAUGGAUUUUAUUGAUGGACUGCCGUCCUCACGGGGAGUUAGCGUGAUCUUUGUGGUGGUUGACCGUCUCAGUAAGUACGCUCAUUUUUUUGGCUUGAAGCAUCCUUACACGGCAGUUGAUGUGGCCGCGAAAUUCACGUCUGAGGUGGUUAAGCUACACGGGUUUCCUGACUCCAUUGUCUCCGACCGUGAUAAGGUUUUCUUAAGUUCCUUCUGGAAAGAAUGUUUUAAGCUUGCGGGCACUUCCCUGAAGUACAGUACCGCCUUCCAUCCCCAAACCGACGGCCAAACAGAGGUGCUCAACCGCUGUCUCGAAACUUACUUACGUUGUUUUGCGUCCACACACCCUAAGACUUGGUUUCAGUACUUGAGUUGGGCGGAAUACUGGUACAACACUUGUUUCCAUACAGCCAUUCAGACUACUCCAUUUGAGGUAGUGUAUGGACGUGCCCCUCCUACCUUGGUUCGUUUUGAAGUUGGAUCUACACGUAACUUUGAACUUGAGCAGAGCUUGAAGGAACGUGACUUGAUGCUGGAUCAGUUGAAGACGUUCUUGCUCAAGGCCCAGUCGUCGAUGAAGAAGUCCGCUGAUCAGCAUCGCCGUGAUCUUGCCUUUGAGGUUGGUGAUUUGGUCUUCCUUAAGCUGCGGCCGUAUCGUCAGUCUUCUGUGGCUAAGCGGCUGUGUCAGAAACUGGCCGCAAAAUUCUAUGGUCCAUUUGAAGUGCUUGAGCGGAUUGGGAAGGUGGCUUAUCGCCUGAAGCUACCGGCAGAGUCUAAAAUCCACCCUGUUUUCCAUAUCUCUCAGCUCAAGGCCGUGAUUGGUACACCUCCGCAGGUCACUCCCUUGCCGCAGUCCUUCGCGUCCACAGGAGAGUUGAUAGUUCGACCUGCAGCUGUACUCGACACACGUUACACGCCAUCUGGGUGUCUAGAGGUUUUGAUUCAGUGGACAGGUCUUCCGGAUCACGAGUCUACUUGGAAUCUGGGGUGGGAGAUUCAGCGUCAGUAUCCAGAUUUUCAGCUUGAGGACAAGCUGCGUUUCGUUGGGCGGGGUAUUGAUACGUUACAGCAGGUGUAUUUCCGUAAGCGUGGGAAACAGUUCAGUGCCGUGGGGCUCAAGAGUGAAGAAGAUUUGUUGGAAGAAGAAAAGGAGAGUAAAGCUUCGGAAGGGAAGAGAGGGUUUGAAGAGUCAUCGGAAGAAGAGCAGUCGAGCAAAGCCUAGGAGGGACGGAGAGGCUUUGUGAGUCACGCUUCUUUAGUGAUACUUAUCUAUAAAUAACAAGAAUAAGAGUCAUGGGUUUUUCAUGUUGAGUAUGACGUAAGAAGUGACGUAUGUGUCCUUCAGGUGAUCGUAUGUGAUCAUCGUCGUCGUUAUCUUCUUACGUGUAUUUCAUCUUGUACUUGGAUUGGGGAAAGUAAUCGAAAGGUAUUAUUCAGUAAACGUUGAGUGAUCCAAAGAGUGGUGUGAGUACAAGGUUACGAUCUAUAAACUUAACAUAAAGCCGGAAUUACCUC